UCAUCACAAAAUAUCUUUAAUAAAGAACAAUGCCUCACAUUGAAAAAGCCACGCUACUAUUGCUUUUUACUAUAAUACACAUCUUUGUUUACUGUUCCGAGUAUAAAAUGUAUGCAGUGAGAUAUAUAAUAGAAGAUGAAUUUUGCAUUUGGUCAUAUCUAUGGCUGAACUAAGCCAAGACUUGGUCUAGCCUGAAUAAUUCUAUUACUUAUCGAAAGAACAGUAAGUGGUCGGGCCCUUCCCCGGACCCUGCACAAGCAGGAGCUACGUGCACCGGGCUGCCCUUUUUAUCAUCAAAAGAACAGUACAAAGUUCCAACAAAUACAAAACUCCUUGGUCUUAGCGGAUUCCAAAAUACGCCACCUAAAGAGGAGCGGACAGUUGUACUGAAUUAGAAGAGAGAAAAAACCUAUGAACACGCAGGGAGCUGCCAUACAUGUAAAUUUAACAGAAGACUGGGAAGUUCUCUAAAUGCUUAUUUUCUAGUACCCGAAUUACUUAAACUUAUGGACAGUGUGUAUGAUACCUAAGAAGUGUAUACAUGAAAAAGUGUUUAUAAGUUCCAAGUAGUUUUGGUGUAUGUAGCAUACAUGAACUAUAUCUUCUACAUCAAUAGUGGAUAUUAGCAGUAUUAGUUCUGUUCAUGGAAAUUAUUCAGUAGGGUAGCAUUUCAUUCUAUAAAAGCUGUAGAGGGCUAUUUAAAUUUUGAAACAUUGAGUACAUGGCAUGGUGGAGAGUACUGGUGUGCUGGACCAUACCAACUUAAGAGCUCCUUAAUAAUACUAUGGUCUGCCAUCAUAUUCCACUUGACCAAAACUCCACUUUUCAUUCUUCAACACUCCUUCAGGAACACUUCAGGUAUAUAUCUUCAUGGGGACUACCAGAAACUGAAGCACAUGGUAUCAUGCAAGAAGCAUAAAUAUAGCAUUAGUAGUUGUAUGAAACAUGCCAACCUUGUCACCCAGUUCUUGAUUAUGGUCAGGUGGUUAAUCUAGGAUUCAAAUCAAACAACUUUUUUAUCCGCCAACUCUGAAAGAUUUUAAGUGUUAUCUGUUGAGCUGCUCUUUUAAAUAUAUUUCACUCAAUUUCGGCUGUUGUUUUUCCUUCUGGACAGGGCGGGAUGGCUAUGGAGGUUUACAAUUUAUUGAGAAGAAUAUAUUUAAAUAAUAUUAACCUAUCCCAUGGUUGAACUCUUGGAAAAUGUUAUAAAGAUGGGUCCCAUUUGUCUGGUACAACCUGACUUGUUAUGUGGGGACUUGUAUGGCCAUAUAGAUGGUGAAGUUGCCGUUCCAAAAUACCCGCGUUCCAGACCCCUUGCAGUAUGGUAGUGCCGCUGAAACAAACAAAACAAAUACCAGAUUAGAAGUUUGUAGCUCUUACUGACGAUGAUGGCCAAUCGCCUCGCUGUGUGUAAUAUUUAUGGUAACUGUUUAUCUCUUGAAUGGCCAGAGUUGGAAACUUUUCAUGGUAACUGUUUAUCUCUUGAAUUAAUAGACUAAUGUAAUAUUUAUGCAACCAUGGCCAGAGCUGUAUCAUAGUAGUCUACAUACACAAGGUACAUGGAUGAAAACAGGGGUGCGUACCUCAGUGUUAUAUCAAGUAUAUUAUAAGUAAACAUAUUAGAUUAUAAUUUAUUUACAACAUGCAGACUAAAUCUGCUAAUUUACUUUACAAAACCAUUAAAAGAUGCCCAUAUGACCACAUUAAAUUCCUAAUGAAACAAAGUUGUCGAUAUCAGAUAAGAUGGGCAUAAUCGAGAGAAGAAUCCAUCAGCAUCAUGUUGUUCCUAGACUAACAUAGAUUGCUAUUUUUCUUAAAUAGGAUAUCAAUUUUUUUGUGUGAAUUCCAUUCAACAAAGAAUAUAGAAGGCUUACUACCCAGAGUUUCUUUCGGAAGAAAAAAAAACAAUUGUGCUUGCAUGACGGAUGACAUAAAUCAGACAAAUAAUCAAUGGAUAGGGUGCGUGGAAGUUAGUUAUCCACGUGCCAGAACCAUGAUUUGGUUUCGAGAAACCUACCCCAACUUGUUUGGGACUGAAGGCUUAAUUGUUGUUAUGUCUUAUGCACAGUUUUCACACUGGUUUAGAAAAAUCAUUUGUGUUAUCAAGAUGAAUGCUUAUUUAUUGAGCAAUGACAGUGACCACAAAAUUAUGUAUUGAUGCAUCGAAUCCGUAGAGAAUCGAGUUAUGACACAAUUAAAAUACUAAAAACGCGGCAAGAACUGGAUCCAGGGCAGUUCAUACAGAUUAUCAUCUUGUCACUAGUCUGUACAUGAAACAUGAGCAAAUCAUUCCAGUGUACCUCACAACCCUGAUAGGAUGGCAUCAGCAUCUAUAGAAAAUUAACAGUCCAGAGUAAUAUUCACUGGUUGCAGUUAAAGAGUAGCCCAACAUACAGCAUUUGCCAUUUCAAUAUAUGAAUUAACAUGCAAAAGGGGGAAAAGAACUGAAGUCAAAACCUGUUUUGAAAAAUCCAGUCCAGCAUCUCUGAAGGCCUUUUGUUCUUCUAGUAGACCAUUCCGGGUUUCAGGUGUACCACCACUCUGUACGUAUAAACAAGCAUGUGAUGCGAACAAGUAUCUAAUAGCAAUGGGAAAAGAGAGGCAUAAUAAGGAAAUAUAGGACUAUAUAUGUACCUUAGAGAUUAGAAUUACAAGAG
rnacentral:lncRNA from 1 species